rnacentral:lncRNA from 12 species
GAGGUCCAGGACGCUUUCUUCCAUCUUCUUUUAUUUUUCUCAAGGCUUUGUCCCAGAUGCCUCUCUUUCUUCACCCCCUCCUUCUGUUCUUUUUCUGGUCCCAACCCCGGACCUCUUAUUCUUAAGUCAUUGGUUUUGGGUUGCAAGGAACAGCCAUGCUCUCCAGCCAGCUUACCUUGGCAGAGGGUUUGUUCUAGGAAUCUCAGAUCUCAGGAAUGCAGGGAGCAAAGCUCCACCAGCCUGCUGGAAACUGCAUUGGGAAGGCUCUUUAAUUCAGGGGCAGCACAGUGCACGUUCCUGCUCAUCUCCUGUAUGCAUGUGUGUGUCUUUCUCGGGGUGAGAUCUCACUGCUGCUUGCCUAAGUUGGCACAUCUUCAUCCUCAAAUGAGGCAAGGAACAACUCGAGUCACCUUUACUGGAAAUCAUUUUGCUGAAGUCCUGAAACUGCAGUUCUUGAAGUUAAAAGGUAAGCAGGAAGUAAAUUUGUACCUACUGAAAUUCUCUUCUAAAGGAAGCCAGUGUUUGGGGAGAGAUGACUGUUGCUGGCAUUCCUCAAACAUGCCCAGUCCUGUAUGUACUCUUUUCUCUUCUCUGCCUGGCCAGGUUCUUGUUGAUCCCUGAAGGUCUUAACCAGUGCUACUUCCCUGGCAAUCAAGCCUUUUAUUUAUUUGUUUGUUUGUUUGUUUGUAUGUUUUUAAGAUUUAGUUUAUUUAUUUUAGAGAAAGCCCAUAUAGGGUUGGGGGAGAGCAAGACUAAAGCUGAUUCCCUGCUGAGUGUAGAGCCAGACCCAGGGCUCAGCUUGAUCUCAUGACCCUGAGACUGUUGCUGGGUUGCAGGGUUCUUGUCUCCCAGAGUUGAAAGAUGAAUCUCGUGGGCAAAAGGGUGAAGUGAAAUGAAAGUUUAUUAAAUGAAGGUAGGAACAGAAAGGAAAGCGAAGGUGUACCCUAGAGGGAGAGUGGCCCUGAUAGGUCACCGUCGAGGGCUUUUAUGGUGGGCCUUUUAUAGAAAACUGACCAGGGAACUUAGUAAAUUUCUUGUCUAUAACAUUUAAGAUGAACAACAUGGAUUUGUAAAUGUUAUGAAAAUAUCUCGUCUAUAUUUAGAACCAACAGGUGGAUUUGUUAUGUCCCCUUCCCUCUGGUUAAUAUCUUGUCCACAGCAUUUCUCCACAUCUGGGAUUUCUCUGAGCCUGAGCGCAUAGUGCCCUUACCUCUCUCUCCCUAACUGGCCUCAGUUGUCCCUUUCUCAAGACCACGACCUGGGUCGAAAUCAAGAGGCAGACGCUUACCUGAUGGAGCCACCCAGGCGCCCUGAAGUCCAUCCUUUUUAUUCCCUCCUGGUGGAUAGUGACUUCUCCAGGCUUGGAACCCCCGUAGUACCAUCCCCUUCUCAGUGACGUGCGUCCUAAUGAGCCCGGCUCGGUCAUUGUGGGCCCCUCCCCGGGCUGCCCUUCUUCCACGGCUCCUUCCCUGUGAAGCUCCCUCCACCCCACCCUGGUGUUUCCACGCUUGAUUGUAGUCGCCUCUUUGCAAGUCUUCCCGUAAAUAGCCCCCUGAGGGCAUAUCUGAAUUGUGCCUGGAUGCUCCGUGAACAUUCACUGGCGAACCUCGAACCUCGCCUC